UCGAGCUUGUUCAGCGUCGAACUACACAACGUCAACAAUAUAGCCAGAAAAGACACCUACGCCGGCUUUUUGACAAGAAUUAAAUAAAAUUAGUUAAGUCAGCAAAAUGCUUGAAACUCUGUACAAUUUGCCCUUCCACAUACUAGUACCGCCAAACAUUAAAGUACGAAAGUUCUCCCUGCCUCUACCCUCGGCCAUGGGCGUUUUCUCCGCUGUACUAGUUUCCUACUUUUUGGUCACGGGCGGUAUCAUCUAUGACGUGAUUGUGGAGCCGCCAAGCGUGGGCGCCACUGUCGACGAGCACGGACAUUCGCGGCCUGUUGCCUUCAUGCCUUACAGAGUGAACGCCCAAUAUAUUAUGGAAGGAUUAGCUAGCAGCUUCCUCUUCACGAUCGGCGGCUUGGGCUUCAUUAUAAUGGAUCAGACCCAUGCGCCUGGUAAAACGAAUCUCAAUCGCUUGCUGCUCACUGCCAUGGGCUUUGUCUUCAUAUUGGUUUCCUUCUUUACAACUUGGCUCUUCAUGAGGAUGAAGUUGCCCAGCUACUUGCAGCCCUAAAGAAGUCGGAUUAAGCAAGCUUUCAUAAAACGGAAAUCUCUCUUUAAUAAAUCUUCUACCCAAUUUAUUAAUUUAUCAUUCAUGGAAAAACAACUGGACGUCUUCUGGUUGGACAGCUCCUGCUUUAGACUAACAAUUCAUCUGUCCAAGCCCCUCUCUUUCUUCUAGUCUCGUUUCGUGUUGUCCUCUCUUGCCUUCUGUUUCGGCCUUCUCGUUCGGCCAAAUUUCUAUUCUCUUUGGAUCUCAGCCCCGUCAGUUUGAUUCUCUAUUCUCCUGCUUUCUUUGCUUUGUUGUGUUUCAAAAAAUCGAAAUGCUUGCAAAAAUAGUUUUUCAGUUUAUAUUGCGGCGGCAAAGCGCGCAGUACGCCCGUAUCGAAAAUAUUGUCUAUUAAUAGAAUUGUAGAAAAACUGAAAAUCUAUUUUGGUUUUACAAUACAUAAGCUGAGCAGCUACAAAAAUCAGAAAAAUAAUAUAAAUAAAUACGAAAACUUAGCCGAAAUAACGUUUAACAAAAAGUGAAUAGAAAAUAAGUUAACAUUAAAAUCUUGAGCAAGUGAUGUAAUAGAAACACAACCAGGUAGAAGAGGAGGAAAACAACUCGGGCCACUGACACGCAGUUUGUUUACAAA